rnacentral:rRNA from 1 species
CAGUAGCCACGGUAAUACGGAGGAUCCAAGCGUUAUCCGGAAUCAUUGGGUUUAAAGGGUCCGUAGGCGGUCUUGUAAGUCAGUGGUGAAAGCCCAUCGCUCAACGGUGGAACGGCCAUUGAUACUGCAGGACUUGAAUUAUUGGGAAGUAACUAGAAUAUGUAGUGUAGCGGUGAAAUGCUUAGAGAUUACAUGGAAUACCAAUUGCGAAGGCAGGUUACUACCAAUUGAUUGACGCUGAUGGACGAAAGCGUGGGUAGCGAACAGGAUUAGAUACCCCUGUAGUCCCUGUCUCUUAUAA